GAUGAACGCUGGCGGCGUGCCUAAUACAUGCAAGUCGAGCGAACGGACGAGAAGCUUGCUUCUCUGAUGUUAGCGGCGGACGGGUGAGUAACACGUGGAUAACCUACCUAUAAGACUGGGAUAACUUCGGGAAACCGGAGCUAAUACCGGAUAAUAUUUUGAACCGCAUGGUUCAAAAGUGAAAGACGGUCUUGCUGUCACUUAUAGAUGGAUCCGCGCUGCAUUAGCUAGUUGGUAAGGUAACGGCUUACCAAGGCAACGAUGCAUAGCCGACCUGAGAGGGUGAUCGGCCACACUGGAACUGAGACACGGUCCAGACUCCUACGGGAGGCAGCAGUAGGGAAUCUUCCGCAAUGGGCGAAAGCCUGACGGAACAACGCCGCGUGAGUGAUGAAGGUCUUCGGAUCGUGAAACUCUGUUAUUAGGGAAGAACAUAUGUGUAAGUAACUGUGCACAUCUUGACGGUACCUAAUCAGAAAGCCACGGCUAACUACGUG
rnacentral:rRNA from 1 species